rnacentral:rRNA from 1 species
AAUUGUAAAUUAAGCCUCUCACCUUACACCUAAAAUAAUUAAAACCAAACCAUUUAUAUAUAAUAGUAUGGGCGACAGAAAACUUAUUAGCGCAAUAAAUAUAGUACUGUAAAGGAAAAAUGAAAUAGAAAUUAAAUAACCACAAAAAUAUAACGAAGCAAGAACUAAUACCUGUACCUUUUGCAUCAUGGUCUAGCAAGUCCAACCUUACAAAAAGAAUUUAGCAAGAUUCCCCGAAGCCAGACGAGCUACCUUGGGGCAGUACACUGAACGAACUCUCCUCUGUAGCAAAAGAGCGGGAAGACCCUCAGGUAGAGGCAACAAACCAAACGAGCCUGGAUAUAGCUGGUUGCUUGAGAAAGAAUUUAAGUUCACAUAAAAGUAAAUAUACCAAUAAGGAAAAUAAACUUUUAUUAUAAUUAAUUGAGUUACAGCCCAAUUAAUAAGGGAUACAACCCAAUAAAUGAAUAACGAUUAUAAUCUUUAAGAACAAGAGUUUAGUAGGCCUAAAAGCAGCCACCAAAAUAGCGUCAAAGCUUAACUCAAAAAAUAUCAACUAUCUCAAUAACUAAUCCUAAUUCUACACAACAAUUAAGCCAAUCUAUUUAUAGAUAAACUACUACUAGAAUGAGUAAUAAGGACACAUCCUCUACAAUACAAAUAUAAAUCAGAACGAACUACAUCACUGAUAAUUAAUGAAUAUAUUUUCAAAACAAGAAAUCAAUAACAGAAAUCAUUAACCCAACACAGGAGUAUUAAAGAAAGACUUAAAAUCUAGGAAGGAACUCGGCAAACCAAGGCUUCGCCUGUUUACCAAAAACAUCGCCUUUUGAUUUACAAAUAUAAAAGGUCCUGCCUGCCCAGUGACUUGUUUUUAACGGCCGCGGUAUCAUGACCGUGCAAAGGUAGCGUAAUCACUUGUCUUUUAAAUAAAGACCAGUAUGAAUGGCAAGACGAGAGCCUAACUGUCUCCCUAGAUUAAUCAAUGAAAUUGAUUUUCCCGUGCAGAAGCGGGAAUAAUAAUAUAAGACGAGAAGACCCUGUGGAGCUUCAAACUUAAACUAAUAACCAUAAAAAUAUUUUAGCCUCCAGUUUUGGGUUGGGGCGACCACGAGGCAAAACACAACCCUCGAGACAAAUAAAGAAGGACACUUCAAAUAAACACAACAGUACAUUGACCCAAUAAUUGAUCAACGAACCAAGUUACCCCAGGGAUAACAGCGCAAUCUACUCAAAGAGCCCAUAUCGACGAGCAGGUUUACGACCUCGAUGUUGGAUCAGGAACCCCCAAUUACGCAACAGUUAUUAAAGGUUCGUUUGUUCAACGAUUAAAGUCCUACGUGAUCUGAGUUCAGACCGGAGUAAUCCAGGUCAGUUUCUAUCUAUAAUCGAACUUUUCUAGUACGAAAGGSCCGAAAAGUUAGGAUCAAUAAAAACCUAAAUCCUACCACAACCUCUGAAUACAAAUAAAAGGCUUUGAGUUAAACUCAGU